ensembl:lncRNA
CGAUGAGGACCUCCUCUCGCUGGCUUUUAUUGACAAACUUCAAACAAUAGUUUACAAAACACCUCCCCUCGCAACCCCCUUUGGUUACAAAGACAAGGCACUGUAUGUAUGUAUAUGCAGGUAUGUGUGUGUGUGUGUGUGUGUGUGUGUGUGUGUGUGUCCUCCUGCUGACCAAAGGGUCGUAAACGCAGGAAGCUUACAUCAAAGGAAGUAGAUCUUCCAGAUAGGAUGUAUCUGCAAUAAAACCUCCCCCAACACAAAGUGGUUAGAGGUGCUCAGGAUCAAAGGAAUAGCUUUGAUAAUACUGCUUGAACUAAGACUGUACAAAUUUAAGAAACACAAUGGCAACAUUCAACAAUUAGACCUAACAUUUCCCCCCUUUUUGUCAUUUUAUAUACUUAAAUUUCAACUUAUGCACCCUUUGUUUGGACAGUGACAGUGUAGAUUUCAUUCAUACACAACUCCUCUUCAUUCACCUUCUAUCGAUGCAAAAGUUCACAGUUAAUUCAAUUCAAUUCAAUUCAAUUCAAUUUUAUUUAUAUAGCGCCAAAUCACAACAAAAGUCGCCUCAAGGCGCUUUAUAUUGUACAGUAGAUAGCACAAUAAUAAAUACAGAGAAAAACCCAACAAUCAUAUGACCCCCUAUGAGCAAGCACUUUGGCCACAGUGGGAAGGAAAACUCCCUUUAACAGGAAGAAACCUCCGGCAGAACCAGGCUCAGGGAGGGGCGGCCAUCUGCUGCGACCGGUUGGGGUGAAAGAAGGAAAACAGGAUGAAAGACAUGCUGUGGAAGAGAGACAGAGAUUAAUAACAGAUAUGAUUCGAUGCAGAGAGGUCUAUUAGCACAUAGUGAGUGAGAAAGGUGACUGGAAAGGAAAAACUCAAUGCAUCAUGGGAAUCCCCGGCAGCCUACGUCUAUUGCAGCAUAACUAAGGGAGGAUUCAGGGUCACCUGGUCCAGCCCUAACUAUAUGCUUUAGCAAAAAGGAAAGUUUUAAGCCUAAUCUUGAAAGUAGAGAUAGUGUCUGUCUCCCGAAUCCAAACUGGAAGCUGGUUCCACAGAAGAGGGGCCUGAAAACUGAAGGCUCUCCCUCCCAUUCUACUUUUAAAUACUCUAGGAACAACAAGUAGGCCUGCAGAGUGAGAGCGAAGUGCUCUAAU